UUUCUCUAUCUGUUUGAAUGCAUUGACCCUUUUCCUUUUAAGUAUUUUCAAAACAGAAACGUAAUAGAAGAUUCGUGUGAACUAAUCCAGCCUUCUUUGGAUCGAGGUAUAGUUGAUUGAUUGAUAUGUUUUUUUAUCUGCAAAGACCAUGUUUGUUCAUGUACAUGAAACAAUUAGUAUGCACGGCUCCCUAAGCUUAUGAAUAAUCUAUUCGAACCUUCAGAUAUCUUUUUCCAUGGACAUAAUUGACUCUGAAACGAG
rnacentral:misc_RNA from 1 species